AGUAGAGUGCAAGGACAAUUUUUGAGAAGAUGGAGGAGGAGAUAAAAGAUAUUAUAAAUGCUCAUGAUGAAUUGAAAUGCAAUUCUAAGUAUAACUUUGUUGGGCUGGAGUCAGCUUUUCCUAUAAAGAUCCUAGUGAAGAGUUAUGUUACAUUGUCCAAAUUGAAAACUCCUCGCUUCGAGCACUACAUGGAACUAAGGAGGAAAGUGCUCUCAGAGAUUGAUGAAAUCCGAUGCAAACAUGGUGGGAGUAAGGAUGAAAGUGAAGUGCUCGCAGAGAUUGAUAAAAUCCAACGCAAAUGAGACUCUUUCGAACCUUGGUUUGCUGCAUAUCGUUCAACAACAGACGUCACUCUGCCUGCACCUGGAAGAGAGUCUGUGGAAUCCAUCAGAAAGAGAGAUUGUUUUUUGGAGCCUGAGAAAUAGGGAAAGCAUAGUUUCAUCCUUGUCAAAAGACUGGAACAUAUCUGCUGGCUUUUCUUGCUUGAACCGCAUCACCUAUUGACAUGGCCUUUCUACUGGAAAGACCUUAUAUCUUUUCUUUGCCAAAACAUGAUCCUUUCAUUAUUUUGUCAGUUCAUAUGCCAAUGGUGAACAAUCAGUUGGUGUUGGAAAUUGGAAGCUACGGGGAAUUUUCAAAUUGAAAUUUGCAUGGCAGCUACGGGGAAUUUCCAAAUUCCACUGGUGUUACCAAUCCAACUAGAUUUUGUGCCCGUGCUACGCACCGGGGGACCCGAAAACCAUACACAUUUUAUUUUCUUUUAACCAUAUUUUUGGUUUGGUGUGAUGUGGCUUCGUCUCGCCCCGGCUCGCAUUUUUUACUUGUUGUCGCAGGGUUUCCACCGCCCCAUUAUUUAGGAGUUUUGAUUUGGUGUGGCUCGGCUUCGCCUCGCCCCAAUGCAUGCUAAGGAGUUUUUGAUUUGAUAUGGCUUGGCUUCACCUCGCCCCGUCGCAUAGAAUUUUUGAUUUUGUGUGGAUCGGCUUCGCCUCGUCCCGAUGCAUACUUAGGAUUAUUAAUCAUGUCUGGUUCGAUGCAUGUUUAGGAUUUUUAAUUUGGUGUGGUUUGGAUUCCUCUCACCUAUUCCAGAUGCAUGCCGAGGAUUUUCGAUUUGGUAUAGCUCGGCUUCUCCUCGCCCCUCGCUUCGGAUAUUGAUUUGGUGUUUCUCCUCGCCCCUCGCUUCGGAUAUUGAUUUGGUGUUUGUUUUUAUUUUCUUUCUUUUUUUUAUCUUUGUUGGACAGUGUUUGAAAAGAUGGUGAUAGGAGUUGAUAGAAAUAUAAAGCCAUUUCCAAUAGCAUUCAACAAAAAUAAUAACCAGUGUACUUAU